rnacentral:lncRNA from 1 species
CUCAGGAAACCCCUUGCAUGGGGACUUGUAUAAAUUGUCCUGCCGAUUAAAAGGUUGUCAGUUGACUCUCAGAACUGUGUCUCGUCCGGUUACUGGGAGGUUGGGGAUAUUGCCUUAUGGUUUUCAGCGCUUGACUGUGGAUUCGUUUCUGAACCAGCGGAAUUCGUGGAUUUAUAAUUGGCGUUCCGCUACAGGUACUUUUGAACAAACUGGUACCCACCACUGCAGAAGAACGCUUUCCAGAGAGCCAAUGCGGCUUAAGAGCUAGAACGAGCACCACCGUAAAGGCAUUUGUUCUCAGACAGCUCCAAAAAGGUUGGGAACAGAACAAGGUAUUUUACGUGGCAGUCAUUCACAUCACCAAAGUGUUCAACACUGUGAGAAAAAAAAGGUAUGUGGUUAAUUUCGCAACGUCUAGGAUGUCCUCCUAAGUUCCCCAAUAUGAUCAUUUAGCUACACGAAGUUCAAUAUGGUCAAGUCAGACACUGCAACAACUUCUCAGAACCAUUCCUUAUAGGCAGUGGUGUAAAACAAGGCUGUGUUCUUGCACAAACUCUCUUCACAAUUUAUUUCAGCUUGAUGCUUCACCUUGAUAAAGAGAAUGAUGUCUAUAUCCAUUACCACACUGAGGGCUGCUUACUUUACUGGAGGCGACUAAGGGUUCACACCAAGACUGUGAACCAACUCAGACAGCUGCUUUUCGUGGACAAUGCUGCCUUUGAUUUACACACAGUGACAGCUUUGCAGCGAAUAACAGAGGCUGCAGAGCUCUUUGGAUUAGAAGUAAGCCUGAAAAAGACAGAAGUCCUCUACCAGCCUAGACCUCAUGAAGUUUACCGUCACAUAUGGUGAACCAGAGCUGAAGAGAGUCGAUCAGUUCAACUACCUUGGGUGCAUCACCUCUUUACAUGCCAAGAUCAACACAAGAUAGAUAGACUGGCAAAGUCAAACAGAGCAUUUGGCAGAGUGUAUAGUAGAGUCUGGCACAACAAACAUCUGAAGAGAGGCACAAAAAUAAGUCAGUACAGACUGGGCCGGUGCAUGGGUUUUUCCCGCCCUAGGCAAAAAUCCAUUUUACCGCCCCUUCAUGUCACUCACUCACUGACAGACAGAUACACAGACACUGACACUCACUGACAGACACUCACAUCCCUAGGGUCUCACUCCUCCAGCGUGCCGUUUAGUGUGAUGGGGCCGGAAUGACGUCAUAUUCCGGCUUCCAGCAUCACAGAGGGCACGCGAGGGAGGAAUGAGAGGCUGCAAGAAGAGCCUCCCUCGCCGCCUUUUUUUCUCCUCCGGGCACCGGCAUUUGAUGGCAGAGCAGGCACCGGUCAUUAAGGUAAGAAGGUGCCUGCUCUGCCAUACAGUGACAGGGCUCCUCUGGGCGCCCCCACCUUCGGGCUCCCCCUGCUGGCCCUGAGUACAGAGCUGUCAUACUAACCAUUCCCCAAGUCAGAGGUUACCUAUCUCCUGUGACUCUGACUGCUUUCACCAACGCUGCCUCCGCACAAUCUUCAACAUUCAAUGGAAUGACUUCAUCACCAACAUCGAAGUUCUCAAACAGGCAGAGACCACCAGCAUCGAAGCAAUGCUUUUGAAGUUGCAGCUGCGCUGGGCAGGGCAUGUCUCCAGGAUGGAAGAUUAUCCCUUACCUAAGGUCCUAUAUGUGAACUCGCCACUGGACACCACAACAAAGGAGCACCAACGAAAAGGUACAAAGUCUCCAACAUCAACAGUCUGCUCUAACCUCCGAUUGGAAGACUUGGAGACACACCAUUCAUCAGGCUGUCACCUCUUGCGAGAACACACCCCAUGCAGAUAUUGAGAAUAAAAUUAAACAGAUGAAGGAGCGUGACAUUGUGGAUUUGAAGGUCUCGCAUUGGCCUAGUCAGCC